rnacentral:tRNA from 1 species
CGCCGGGUGGCCGGCGGCGCGACGGUCCUCGACCCCGAGGUGGUCGGCCAGCUGCUGGUCCGGCGCCGGCGCGACGA